AGUGAACGCUGGCGGUAGGCCUAACACAUGCCAGUCGAACGGCAGCACAGUAAGAGCUUGCUCUUACGGGUGGCGAAUGGCGGACGGGUGAGGAAUACAUCGGAAUCUACUUUUUCGUGGAGGAUAACGUAGAUAAACUUACGCUAAUACCGCAUACGACGUACGGGUGAAAGCAGGGGAUCUUCGGACCUUGCGCGAUUGAAUGAGCCGAUGUCGGAUUAGCUAGUUGGCGGGGUAAAGGCCCACCAAGGCGACGAUCCGUAGCUGGUCUGAGAGGAUGGUCAGCCACAAUGGAACUGGAACACGGUCCAGACGCCUACGGGAGGGAGCAGUGGGGAAUAUUGGACAAUGGGCGCAAGCAUGAUCCAGCCAUACCGCGUGGGUGAAGAAGGCCUUCGGGUUGUAAAGCCCUUUUGUUGGGAAAGAAAAGCAGCAGGUUAAUACCACGCUGUUCUGACGGUACCCAAAGAAUAAGCACCGGCUAACUUCGUG
rnacentral:rRNA from 1 species